UACAGAGGUCCCGAGCGUUGUUCGGAUUCAUUGGGCGUAAAGGGUGCGUAGGCGGCCUGCUGCGUCGGUGCUGAAAGCGCCCGGCUUAACCGGGCGAGGCGUGCCGAUACGAGCGGGCUGGAGCCUUGGCGAGGGUGGCGGAACUCCUGGUGUAGUGGUGAAAUGCGUAGAGAUCAGGAAGAACACCCGUGGCGCAAGCGGCCACCUGGCCAAGAGCUGACGCUGAGGCACGAGAGCGUGGGGAGCGAACCGG
rnacentral:rRNA from 1 species